rnacentral:misc_RNA from 1 species
GAUGAAGAACGUAGCGAAAUGCGAUAAGUAAUGUGAAUUGCAGAAUUCAGUGAAUCAUCGAAUCUUUGAACGCAUCUUGCGCUCCUUGGUAUUCUGAGGAGCAUGCCUGUUUGAGUGUCAUUAAAUUCUCAACUACACUGACUUUGAAUUGGUGUGGCUUGGAUUUGGGGGGAAAAUUGUUGUGGGCUUUUUGUAUAGUCUGCUCCCCUGAAAUUGAUUAGCGGUACCUUUGUGGAACUGUCUACAGGUGUGAUAAUUAUCUACAUCUUAGACAUCUGCUGGAAUGCUGCUUUCUAACCCUUACUUGUAUUGACAAUCUUGACCUCAAAUCAGGUAGGACUACCCGCUGAACUUAAGCAUAUCAAUAAGCGGAGGA